UACGUAGGGUCCGAGCGUUGUCCGGAAUUAUUGGGCGUAAAGGGCUCGUAGGCGGUUUGUCGCGUCGGGAGUGAAAACUCAGGGCUCAACCCUGAGCGUGCUUCCGAUACGGGCAGACUAGAGGUAUGCAGGGGAGAACGGAAUUCCUGGUGUAGCGGUGGAAUGCGCAGAUAUCAGGAGGAACACCGGUGGCGAAGGCGGUUCUCUGAGCAACAACUGACGCUGAGGAGCGAAAGCGUGGGGAGCGAACAGG
rnacentral:rRNA from 1 species